AGCAGCCGCGGUAAUUCCAGCUCCAAUAGCGUAUAUUAAAGUUGCUGCAGUUAAAAAGCUCGUAGUUGAAUUUCGGGACUAAUAUGUUGGUCGUGCCUCGGUACGUACUGAUAUUUUUGGUUUCUCCCUUCUGACGAACCUUGAUGUCAUUAAUUUGGUGUCUUGGGAAAUCAGGACUGUUACUUUGAAAAAAUUUAGAGUGUUUAAAGCAGGCAAUUAGCUUGAAUACAUUAGCAUGGAAUAAUGAAAUAGGACGUUCGAUCCUAUUUUGUUGGUUUCUAGGAUCAACGUAAUGAUUAAUAGGGAUAGUUGGGGGCAUUAGUAUUCAAUUGUCAGAGGUGAAAUUCUUGGAUUUAUUGAAGACUAACUACUGCGAAAGCAUUUGCCAAGGAUGUUUUCAUUAAUCAAGAACGAAAGUUAGGGGAUCGAAGACGAUCAGAUACCGUCGUAGUCUUAACCAUAAACUAUGCCGACUAGGGAUCGGAUGAUGUUAAUUUUUUUAAUGACUCAUUCGGCGCCU
rnacentral:rRNA from 1 species